AUGAACGCUAGCUACAGGCUUAACACAUGCAAGUCGAGGGGAAACGAUAGAGAAAGCUUGCUUUUUCUAGGCGUCGACCGGCGCACGGGUGAGUAACGCGUAUCCAACCUGCCCACCACUUGGGGAUAACCUUGCGAAAGUAAGACUAAUACCCAAUGAUAUCUCUAGAAGACAUCUGAAAGAGAUUAAAGAUUUAUCGGUGAUGGAUGGGGAUGCGUCUGAUUAACUUGUUGGCGGGGUAACGGCCCACCAAGGCGACGAUCAGUAGGGGUUCUGAGAGGAAGGUCCCCCACAUUGGAACUGAGACACGGUCCAAACUCCUACGGGAGGCAGCAGUGAGGAAUAUUGGUCAAUGGACGAGAGUCUGAACCAGCCAAGUAGCGUGCAGGAAGACGGCCCUAUGGGUUGUAAACUGCUUUUAUAAGGGAAUAAAGUGGGAGUCGUGACUCCUUUUGCAUGUACCUUAUGAAUAAGGACCGGCUAAUUCCGUGCCAGCAGCCGCGGUAAUACGGAAGGUCCGGGCGUUAUCCGGAUUUAUUGGGUUUAAAGGGAGCGUAGGCCGGAGAUUAAGCGUGUUGUGAAAUGUAGACGCUCAACGUCUGCACUGCAGCGCGAACUGGUUUCCUUGAGUACGCACAAAGUGGGCGGAAUUCGUGGUGUAGCGGUGAAAUGCUUAGAUAUCACGAAGAACUCCGAUUGCGAAGGCAGCUCACUGGAGCGCAACUGACGCUGAAGCUCGAAAGUGCGGGUAUCAAACAGGAUUAGAUACCCUGGUAGUCCGCACGGUAAACGAUGGAUGCCCGCUGUUGGUCUGAAUAGGUCAGCGGCCAAGCGAAAGCAUUAAGCAUCCCACCUGGGGAGUACGCCGGCAACGGUGAAACUCAAAGGAAUUGACG
rnacentral:rRNA from 1 species